AACGAACGCUGGCGGCAUGCCUAACACAUGCAAGUCGAACGGAAAGGCCUCUUUCGGGGGGUACUCGAGUGGCGAACGGGUGAGUAACACGUGAGUAACCUGCCCUUGACUUUGGGAUAACUUCAGGAAACUGGGGCUAAUACCGGAUAGGAGCUCCUGCUGCAUGGUGGGGGUUGGAAAGUUUCGGCGGUUGGGGAUGGACUCGCGGCUUAUCAGCUUGUUGGUGGGGUAGUGGCUUACCAAGGCUUUGACGGGUAGCCGGCCUGAGAGGGUGACCGGCCACAUUGGGACUGAGAUACGGCCCAGACUCCUACGGGAGGCAGCAGUGGGGAAUAUUGCACAAUGGGUGGAAGCCUGAUGCAGCAACGCCGUGUGCGGGAUGACGGCCUUCGGGUUGUAAACCGCUUUCGCUCAUGACGAAGCUUUGUGUGACGGUAGUGGGUAAAGAAGCACCGGCUAACUACGUG
rnacentral:rRNA from 1 species